UGCGCCGCUCCUCGCUGCGGUCCGUUGGAGCGGCGCCCGGCAGGAUGUGAGCGCGGUGCUGUGCCGUCAGCCUGCCGUCGCGGUGGUCGCUAUGCUAUGUGGAAAUAGUCUUUCAGCCGUGGUUCUCUAAUGCAGCUGCUGCAAGAGGUCGAUAUUUUUAUAAUGGCGUGUAAUCUCCUGUUGAGGAGCUUUUUAUGGAAGGUAUAAUUUGUAAAAGUUAGGGUGUUUGCCUCUCGACUGCAUUGACAUGCCACAGGCUCAGACUGUUUUUGUGUAAAAGAUGUCACAGAACGGCACUUUUUCUAAAGAGAAGUUUGAUAUUUUGUAUGCUUGUUAAGAAAGUACAGUAUUGGAAAUUAAAGGUGGACAACUGAUAAUUGAGAAGUAUGUCAAUUAAUUUUUUAUGUAUAUUACCUGUUUACUUGUACAAUUUUAUUGUACAAAUUACAUGCAGCUUCAUUUUCAAAUGAGUCCUUAAAGUAAGGAAAAUCUUUUUAGGAAAACAUUUAAUUUUUGUAUUUUUGAUUUUAAAAGGCAUGAGUUAUGUCAACUUUUUCCAGUGUAUUAAUGAAGAUUUUAACUUUUCAUCAGGUUGAGUGUUUUCUUACUAUAUUAUCUGUUGUGUAUGUAGCUAGCACAUUGUGUCACUGAACUGUUUAAAGAGAUUAGCAUGUAGAGCAAGCCUGUUUUGUGGAAAAUCCUUAUUCAUUAAAAAAAAAUCAUCAUGGCAGAUUUUCUGCAAAAAAGUGGAAACAUUUGCAAUUCAGAAUACUGAUUUUUUUUUUUUUUUUGUAUUUAAAGAAAAGUAUUUUGCUUGCAGGAAAGAAAUACUACAGAUUCAUUUUAAUGAGAAUCUUUUAAAUGUAUUUAUCUUUAGGGCAUCUGGGCAUCUUUACACUGUUUGUCUUAUGUCUUUAUUGAAAUAAAAUGUACAUAACAUUACCUUUAUAUAUGCUUUUGCGCAGCCGUGUGAGCCUGUAACCAUCCGCGCUCCUCCUGUUUUUAUGUUGAUGAGAUGGUUCUGGAAAUAUUUACAGAGUUUGAAAAUGGUCGGCUUGUAUUUGAAUUGCUACAUGGUUUGCCAACUAUUUUUUAGCUGCUCGUUAAGAUGUAAAUCUAAAGCUGAGAUUUUAAUUGGUUUUAACGGCGAAUCCCUGUUGAACGUGGAAUUCUUCCAGAUUUCUUGGAGUAAUUUACACCGUAGGACUGCUUUACACAUCGCCAGGCUUCCAGAAGGAACCCGUCUUUGCUCAGUAGCUCAUAGCUGUUCUCUGACUGUCAGCAGGGACGACCGUCUGUCCGACGCCGUCCUGACACGCGCGUCCCGUCUCCAAAACAUUCUAAAAGUGCUUUCUUUAGUUAAGGAAACCAAAGCAUACAUUGCACUUUACAGCUGUAUCUGUGUUGUGAUUAUCAGAUCAGUGAGGGAAAUGGAAAUGUAAAUUGGAGGAUUUAGUUCUACACAGAUGCACAAUGAAAGUUACAGAGGCUGCUUAGUAAACAGAUUAAAUAUUAAUACUUUAAUGUGCUGCAAGUCUGAUAUUUAUCAUUCUGAACUUUCUUUGCAGAAUGAGUCUGCCUUCCUCAAAAUGCGAGUUCCUAACAAUGUCAAAGACUUCUGGCAUAACAACAAGUCUUUGCACGAAGCAAAGUUCUGUUCCUUCGGCUUUGAUUUCCAUCAGCCUCCAGGCUGAGGCCUCGCUGUUUGACUUCAGUCUGGAUCAAAUUGUGCAGACCAAAAUUGGCGCUGUCUCAGCUACGGCUGUUACUUGAGGUUGAAUGUAGAACUGUGCUGCUUGAGCAGUUCAUCGUGUAGCUGUAUCAUUUAUUCCCGUUUUAUGUAUGUUUAGGAAGCACACCAUCGUAUUUCCAAAGUUCUUAAUGGUUUCAUUUUUGUCUGCGGUUUCAUUUGUGGUCUUCGACUUGAUUCUGGCAAUGUUUGCUAAUUGAAUGUCUUUGUAUGUAUUCUGUUCUAGGGUUGAGUGUUUUUCCUUUGGACAGCAAAACAACAGUAUUUCGUACUUCCAUUAUUGGCUGCUUUUCUACCUUUGGUUCAUUUCACCUUGCAUCUCUAUGGAAAAAGAUUUUUUUUCAUUAUUAUUCAAAUGUAUCUGAAAACAUGAAUGUUUCGAGACCUGAUCACACAUCUUCCAUAGGAAGAGUUGUAUCAGCUGAAUGCGUGCUGUGAGGAGGCACUUCUUUAAGCAGACCACUAAGAUGUGUUACUAAAAGUAACCAGAUGUACUCUUCCAGAGACCUUUUUAGGCGUGAGGUGGAUUGGCACAACUGGCAAAGCAUGGAGCCCAGCGAGGAGAAGGGCUGGGAGUGAGUGCAGAUCUCAUCAGCCUGCCUCCCAGUAGCAGCGCGGUGAUGUGGGCCCGUGGUCUGCAGCAGCCUGUAAUGGUAGAGCUUGGGUGGAUGGUCAGGAAAGCUGUCCAGACACACGAGUGUUACUAUCCAAGUAAAUACCCAUGUCUCUUGAUUUUUUUUUUUCCUUCUGGUUCUGACUUCCUUAUAGCGUUGCAUUGCAAACCAUUACCUUUAUUCUCUGUGUAAAUCAGCCGCAGCCUGUUGGUGCAGACAUUAAGGUAGAUGAUGGCAUUUGUUACUGAACAGAUGUGACUGAAACCGAGGAAAGCUCCGUCCGUGGUGGGGUGCCUACACCAGUGAAUUGUGGCUGCUGAACUCGGUGUGUCCUCGCUGUCACUCCUUUCAUCUGACUGGGGGACUGGAUUAGCACUGAGCACACCUAAAUUUGGGGAAUUAGGAAAGUUAUCUGUGCCUUCUUUGUCUCCUCUCCAUCCCGUGCUCCCUUCCGUUUGAAGGACUUGGAGAGCACACCUUUACAAAGCUAGAAUUCCAGUGUGAAAUUAAUAUUUACAUGGCUGAAAUUAAUCUAGUAUGUGUAGGUAAAUGGAACGGAUUUCAGGAAGUCAAGGCCAAAAAGUAAACAUUUGCAACAUAAUUGAAAGAAAAGACCAAGCACCUACUGGUGUGAUAUCAGCACAGCUGUUGGGUUUGUUUCAAGUGCAACGAGAAACUAAUUGCUAUUUCAUUAAAAUAACGUCUUCCGCUGUAAGUAGAAUUUCAAGUUAAGUAUUGGUUCUUUUUAUGGGGAAACGACUUCUGUGGAUUUGUGCAGCAGAGCAGGCAGGUGGUUCAGCCAACCCCAUUGAGCUGCUUUAAUCUCGUUAUCAAAGCCUGAUACAAUAAAAUGAAAAGAUGAGAGGUGGCGCCUCGGCAGCAGCGCGGUGCUGAUGGCCGCUUCUCCCUCCUCUGCCUGGGGAUGGCGCUUCUGUCCCCAGGGCUGCGCUGGGCCUGAGCAGGAGCUGCUCGUUGCGGUCGGCGUGCUGUGCUGCCCGAGGCCGGUUAGGGCUGCUGCAGGGAAGAUGGUUUUUGUGCGAAUGUCAUCGCCACGUUGAAGUCGUUCAGCUGCAGAACAAUGUUGUGUACUUCAGAGACAUUAAAGGACUGUUCUCAAAGAUCUGAUUAGGCCAAAACUGUGUCAUUGCAGAUUUGCAUCUUGGAUUUCUGAUGCUUAAAUAAAAUGGUUAACAAGUUGAUAAAUGGCUGAUGAGAAGUAGCGUAGAUGCAUUGUUUUCUUAGCUAGUAGUCAUAAUUUUGUAAAAAACAAACAAAAAAGAUAUAUAUAAAUUAAAAAAAAAAAGACAGCAACUUCUUUGUUUGGAAGCAAGCAAGGAAGGCUUGUUAAGGAUUGACUUGUAUAGGUUCUGUUAAGCACAUCACUAUUUUGGUUGUCUUGACUGUGUAAUGUAAUAUUGUUUUGCUUUAUUUUUUUUAUACUUGCAAAAAUGUCAUUGUACUGAUAGGCUGAAUCUUGUAAAAUACAAUUGGAAGAGAACCAAUGUUCUACAAA